CACGUAGGGCGCGAGCGUUGUCCGGAAUUAUUGGGCGUAAAGAGCUCGUAGGCGGUUUGUCACGUCGGAUGUGAAAACCCGAGGCUUAACCUCGGGCCUGCAUUCGAUACGGGCUGACUAGAGUUCGGUAGGGGAGACUGGAAUUCCUGGUGUAGCGGUGAAAUGCGCAGAUAUCAGGAGGAACACCGGUGGCGAAGGCGGGUCUCUGGGCCGAUACUGACGCUGAGGAGCGAAAGCGUGGGGAGCGAACAGG
rnacentral:rRNA from 1 species